AGCCUCAUUUUAGUCUUAUGGAGGUAGAGCACUGAAUUUCCGCGGGGGCGUCAAAGCUUACCAAAGAAUAUCAAACUCCGAAUGCCAUGUAGAUGAUGAAUGGGAGUCAGACUGCACGAGAUAAGUUGGGCAGUCAAAAGGGAAAGAGCCCAGACCACCAGCUAAGGUCCCAAAGUGUGUGUUAAGUGGAAAAGGAUGUGGGAUUUCAAAGACAACUAGGAUGUUGGCUCAGAAGCAGCCACACAUUCAAAGAGUGCGUAACAGCUCACUAGUCGAGAGGUCCUGCGCCGAAAAUGUCCGGGGCUAAAACACAACACCGAAGCUGUGGAAUCACGUAGUGAUUGGUAGAGGAGCAUUCUUAAGACCGACGAAGCUGUACCGGAAGGAGCAGUGGAGGGAUAAGAAGAGAGAAUGCCGGAAUGAGUAGCGAGAGAGAGGUGAGAAUCCUCUCGGCCGAAUAUCCAAGGUUUCCAGAGUAAAGCUGAUCUGCUCUGGGUAAGUCGGGGCCUAAGGAGAGGUCGAAAGACGUAUCCGAUGGACAACAGGUUUAGAUUCCUGUACCACAUAUGAACAGAACUGUGGGGACGCAUGUGGAGAGCACGAGCCGGGAAUGGAAAUACCGGUACAAGCG
rnacentral:rRNA from 1 species